AGUACAUAUAUUUUGUAAAAUAACUCGUAAAAUUCCUCAUACAAAUUGAGAAGAAAUAUUGUUAUAAACAUCUUCAGGUUUCACAAGUUAGAUAUGUUAUUUUCAUAGCAAUUUAGACAUUUAUAUAACUGGUACUUCCUUUCAAUGAAAAUUAAACCUAUCAUUAACUACCUUUACAAGUUGCUUUUACAGCAAUUAAGAUAUACAUCAACUGAUAGAAAUCGCUCUCAAUGUUAAAGGAGAGUAUAUAUAGUUUUUGUACUCUUAAACUUGUGCUUAGAAAAAAACCUAACAGAAUUGAUGUAAACAUAUAUUUUAUAUGAACACUUACAUUAGGAUGUUUAAAAGGACAAAAUGAAUGUGGAUUGGACAGAGGGUGAAAUUUGAAAGUGUAAGCAACGAUGGGUGAGUCAGUAGCCACAUUAUUUUAAAAAUAAACAUUUUUUUUGGUGCUACAUGUAUGAUUUAUUUGGUGUAAAACUAAAAGAUUUGAUGUGAUAAAAAACAUAUCUUUUUUUGAUAGAAAUUCUGUAUUUAAGUGAUGAUAAGUUUAGCUAGUUGUAUGUAUUUAAGUAGAGAAAUGGUGCACACAUGUUCAUUUGUAUUAGUAAAAUAAAACCUGAUACCUGUUUUAUAUACAUGUACUUUAGAAAGAAAAUGACUUAAAAUCCAAUCUCUACAUAAAAUAUGCUUAAACCUAAUGAAUGCCAGAGGGAUUUUAUAGCAUGUGUUAAUAAUCAUUUAUAUAUUUAUUUUCUGUUUUAUAUUAAUAUGUAAAUCAUGCAAUAUUAGUUGACAUUUUUGUGUAUAUUUAUAUGUAAUUAUUACCUCAACAAAAGUACAAAUUUAAAUACUAGUACUCUGAAUAUCUGUACAAAUAUUAAUUCCAACAAAAACAUGCCUACUGAUGAGUAUACACAUACUAACAUAUAUAUAAACACAAUUACAUAUAUAUUUGCACUCAUUGACAGAUAUAGUUAUAGUCCUAAAUUGACAGAUAUCUGAUCUGACACACAUAUACAAACCAGAUAUAUGUGUAUACAAAGACUGACAACUAUCUAUAUCAACUGUCUUUUUACUGAUAAAGUGAGAUAUCUGUACCAAUACACAUACCACAAACUGACAGAUAUCUGUACCCAUGCACAUACCACAAACUGACAGAUAUCUGUACCAAUGCACAUACCACAAACUGACAGAUAUCUGUACCAAUGCACAUACCACAAACUGACGGAUAUCUGUACCAAUGCACAUACCACAAACUGACGGAUAUCUGUACCAAUGCACAUACCACAAACUGACAGAUAUCUGUACCAAUGCACAUUCCACAAACUGACAGAUAUCUGUACCAAUGCACAUACCACAAACUGACAGAUAUCUGUACCAAUGCACAUACCACAAACUGACAGAUAUCUGUACCAAUGCACAUAUCACAAACUAACAGAUAUCUGUACCAAUGCACAUACCACAAACUGACAGAUAUCUGUACCAAUACACACAUACAAACUGACAGAUAUCUGUACCAUCUGACGAUGACAAAUAUAUGUACCAAUUCACACGAACUGACAUACAUCUGUACCAAUGGAUGAUGACAGAUAUCUGUACCAGUGCACACACACAAACUGACAACUGUCUGUACCACAUGAUGAUGACAGAUAUCUGUACCAGUGCACACACACACUGACAGAUAUAUGUAUCAGUGCACAAACACAAACUGACAACUGUCUGUACCACAUGAUGAUGACAGAUAUCUGUACCAGUGCACACACACAAACUGACAGAUAUCUGUAUCAAUGGCUGAUGACAGAUAUCUGUACCAGUGCACACACACACACACACUGACUGAUAUCUGUACCAGUGCACAAACACAAACUGACAACUGUCUGUACCACAUGAUGAUGACAGAUAUCUGUACCAGUGCACACACACACUGACAGAUAUCUGUAUCAGUGCACAAACACAAACUGACAACUGUCUGUACCACAUGAUGAUGACAGAUAUCUGUACCAGUGCACACACACACUAACACAAA